UACGGAGGAUGCGAGCGUUAUCCGGAUUUAUUGGGUUUAAAGGGUGCGUAGGCGGACGCUUAAGUCAGCGGUAAAAUUGCGGGGCUCAACCUCGUCGAGCCGUUGAAACUGGGUGUCUUGAGUGGGCGAGAAGUACGCGGAAUGCGUGGUGUAGCGGUGAAAUGCAUAGAUAUAUGGAGGAACACCGGUGGCGAAAGCGGCUCUCUGGCCUGUAACUGACACUGAGGCUCGAAAGCGUGGGUAGCGAACAGG
rnacentral:rRNA from 1 species